AAGAAAGAAGAAAAGAAAGAAAGGAAGAAGAAUAAGAGGGAAGAAGCUCCGGGCUGCCAUCAAUGGCGGAAGAGGGAAGAAGAGGUAUGGGGCGUGGUGGCGAUGGCUGGUGGAAGAGCACACACCAGCGACUAUAGCAGCAAUGAUGGCGGCAGUGAACGGCGACGACAGGCGGUAGAAAAUGGCCAAAAAUAGCAGCAGCUGUUUGACACCGUUCAUGCGUUUUCGACAAUCAAUGGUAGCGGUUCGGUUUUAAAAUGAUCGGUGACUUGAGGGAAUUCUAAUAGGGGCAACAGUAUCGACAAUGGUGGUCGGAAAAGAGAGUUCCGACGAAGGAAAGGCAGCUGGGUUAUUGGACUUUUCCGUCCAUCUCCGGCGAGAUAUGGAUUAACUCCCCUAGUCACAAGCUUUCCGAUGACAUUAAUUUUACGGCGAUCAGACAUCAUUUAGAAAUCGAUGGUCGAAACUAUUCGUGAUUUUUUCGGAUGAUCGGGGACUAGAUCGGAGAAUCAGGUGCUAGAAUCAUUGUCUGUGCGUUGUCUCGAGUCCGUAGGCG
rnacentral:lncRNA from 1 species